rnacentral:sRNA from 1 species
GAAAGGAGAGGAGGAGGAGGGCCACUAGUUGACUAAGGUGGAGAGGUUUCUUGGUAGGAGUCACAACUCAGGGCUUGAAAACAACUGGCUACUUGUCACCACCAUACCAUCAAAUGGCCCCACAGCCCCCCACAGACAGAAUGAGGGCAGAACCGGCUGUCACUGGGAGUUGACACAGUUGCCAGAGUUAAGGAUGAUCCCUAAACUUCUGAAAGUUGAGUGACUUAAGACCACGCCGCCAUCAUCGCCACCCAAGACAAGCUGGACGUGAACACCAGGAACCCGCGCUCCCGGGACCUGUCCCUGUGACCCGCGCCACUGGCGGCAUCCACCCCGCACUCACCCA